rnacentral:lncRNA from 1 species
UUUUUGGUAUGUGAGUUAACCAUGAUGAGUUACAGGUCAAGUUUAAGUUUAGUUCUGCUCCGCUAAUUUUUGCUGAAAUUACGGGCUUUGGACUUUGAUAAAUUAUUGAAAAUCACAGUUAUACAGAUUUUUUUUUCUAUACGCCUCCAGAUUUUGAGCUGAUGUUUGAUAUAUGAGACUACCAUCAUGUUUAUGUCCACAUGUGUUUAUAUUGAAAUUGCAGAUUUUUCAACUUUUUGGGACGGGG